rnacentral:sRNA from 1 species
AUUUGUCAAGCUAGUGGAUGCUGGGUGAGGUAUUGACCCGGGCGCUGAACUGUGAAAGGAACCUCUUCUCAUGAAGGCUGCAGAGAUGCUCUGGAAGUUGGUCCAAGGUGAAAUUACUGUAACUUCUGUGCAGUUGAUUCUUUUCUUUUCUUCUUUAGUUAAUAGGGAAAGGAAGUUUGGUGAUGGAGGGCCAGAAACACCUGAACUCUAAGAAGAAAGGACUGAAAGGCUCCUUCUCUCUCUCACUGACCUUCACGUCGAGACUGGCCCCUGAUCCCUCUCUGGUGAUCUAUACCAUUUUCCCCAGUGGAGGUGUUGUAGCUGACAAAAUUCAGUUCUCAGUCGAGAUGUGCUUUGACAAUCAGGUUUCCCUUGGCUUCUCUCCCUCCCAGCAGCUUCCAGGAGCAGAAGUGGAGCUACAGCUGCAGGCAGCUCCCGGAUCCCUGUGUGCACUCCGGGCGGUGGAUGCGAGUGUCUUACUGCUUAGGCCAGAGACAGAGCUGAGCAACCGCUCUGUCUAUAGGAUGUUUCCAUUCUGGUAUGGCCACUACCCCUAUCAAGUGGCUGAGUAUGAUCAGUGUCCAGUGUCUG